AUUGAACGCUGGCGGCAGGCCUAACACAUGCAAGUCGAACGGUAACAGGAAGAAGCUUGCUUCUUUGCUGACGAGUGGCGGACGGGUGAGUAAUGUCUGGGAAACGGCCUGAUGGAGGGGGAUAACUACUGGAAACGGUAGCUAAUACCGCAUAACGUCGCAAGACCAAAGAGGGGGACCUUCGGGCCUCUUGCCAUCAGAUGUGCCCAGAUGGGAUUAGCUAGUAGGUGGGGUAACGGCUCACCUAGGCGACGAUCCCUAGCUGGUCUGAGAGGAUGACCAGCCACGCUGGAACUGAGACACGGUCCAGACUCCUACGGGAGGCAGCAGUGGGGAAUAUUGCACAAUGGGCGCAAGCCUGAUGCAGCCAUGCCGCGUGUAUGAAGAAGGCCUUCGGGUUGUAAAGUACUUUCAGCGGGGAGGAAGGGAGUAAAGUUAAUACCUUUGCUCAUUGACGUUACCCGCAGAAGAAGCACCGGCUAACUCCGUGCCAGCAGCCGCCGUAA
rnacentral:rRNA from 1 species